CGCGAACGGGUGAGUAACGCGUAGGUAACCUGCCUGAUAGCGGGGGAUAACUAUUGGAAACGAUAGCUAAUACCGCAUAAGAGGAGUUAACUCAUGUUAACUGUUUAAAAGAAGCAACGGCUUCACUAUCAGAUGGACCUGCGUUGUAUUAGCUAGUAGGUAGGGUAACGGCCUACCUAGGCAACGAUACAUAGCCGACCUGAGAGGGUGAACGGCCACACUGGGACUGAGACACGGCCCAGACUCC
rnacentral:rRNA from 1 species